rnacentral:tRNA from 1 species
GUCCUAAUAGAAUCAAUAGGUUAGCCCUUCACAAUGGACUUAAAAUCUCUCGACCUUUGGGUCGUGCCGGUUCGAUUCCGGCUCCGGGCACCA